AACGAACGCUGGCGGCAUGCCUAACACAUGCAAGUCGAACGAGACCUUCGGGUCUAGUGGCGCACGGGUACGUAACGCGUGGGAAUCUGCCCUUGGGUUCGGAAUAACAGUUGGAAACGACUGCUAAUACCGGAUGAUGACGUAAGUCCAAAGAUUUAUCGCCCAGGGAUGAGCCCGCGUAGGAUUAGCUAGUUGGUGGGGUAAAGGCCUACCAAGGCGACGAUCCUUAGCUGGUCUGAGAGGAUGAUCAGCCACACUGGGACUGAGACACGGCCCAGACUCCUACGGGAAGCAGCAGUGGGGAAUAUUGGACAAUGGGCGAAAGCCUGAUCCAGCAAUGCCGCGUGAGUGAUGAAGGCCUUAGGGUUGUAAAACUCUUUUACCCGGGAUGAUAAUGACAGUACCGGGAGAAUAAGCCCCGGCUAACUCCGUG
rnacentral:rRNA from 1 species